GCAUCUCAGAAAUAGACACUAAAUUUCUCAUUUUAUUUAUUUUUUCCCUGCUCUCCAAUUUUAUUAACUUAGCAUCUAAUGCAUGUUUGUUAAAAGAUAAAAACAUUAUUGCAUCAAAAAUUUGACAAAUAAAUCUGAUUGCAUUGAAGUACCUUUCUGAACAGAUUUUCGAUCUUGUGAGUUAAAUUUCCUUUCUUAUAUAUGACCCAAAACAAACAUAAUUUUGCAGACAUUGCAUAAACCUUUUGUCAAUUUAAAUCAAUAUAUGAACACGACCAAAAGGAGCUAAUUCGAGCAUAUAGUCUGUAAAGCAUCUAAUGCAUCUAUUUUAUGUAAUUUGAGAAACAAGCUUUAUAAAGACCUGAAAAUUUAUGCAGAUCAUGUGAAUGACCGUGAGGAAGAGUACAGUGCUUGCACAAGGUAACCAUCCGCCAGGCUUCUAUUUAUCUUUUCUAAGCAACCGAUAAUGUUUUUCUGGGACUUUUGUCACUAAGAAGCAAGCCCCAGUAGGGAACAAGCUAGUCUUGGAAUUCAUAAUCCUAGACAAAUAAUCAGCUUCAAAUGGUUCCAGGUUACAUUUAAGGCUGGAAAUAAUCUCAAAAUUCAACAAUAAGGCCGUUGCAGCUGACAAGCAGGAGGGUGUGGCACUGCAGAAAAGGAGGGAAUCAUCGAUUAAUUGUAGGCUUAAGAAGUUAUCGAAGAGUCCACCAACAUAAUGGCCGACUUGUUAGAAGAGCUUGGUAAGGAAGUCAACGGUCAGGAUGAAGAGGCUUGGAGACAAUGGGUCGCCUCGACCUGUGAACCGGUUACUUAGGCAUCUAUCAACGAAGACAUCAAUGGAGGAGGAAAUAAGGAUUUAAUCCACUAGAUCCAAGUCUCAAGGAAGCUGCAAGCUUGGAGGAGGGAAAAGAGGUUCCAGUUUGAGGUUAUCAAAUGCUUUUUCGAAAUCAAGCUUACAAAGAGCACCUUUGGUACCUGAUUCUUUGUAGUAUGAGAUGACUUCAUGUGCAAACAGGAAGUUCACAAGGAUGAGUGACUCAUGAGUCUGUCCUUGAUGAAGGCAGACUCGGCUUCAUCAACAAGAGAAAGAAAAAGUAGAUUUAGACAACCUGCCAUCAAUUUUGUGAUUCAUCUUAUAUAACCAUUAAGCAAAUUAAUGGGUCAAAAAUCCUUAGGACAGACAGAGCCUUCCUUCUAAGGUAUAAGGGAUGGGCAAGCAAAGUUGAAAGGAGAGACGCUGAAGCUACCAUUAUAAAAAUGCAUAAAAAAUUCACCAACAAAUCAUCCUUAACCAAAUCCCAAUAAGAAUAACCUUCAGGGCAGACCUUCAUGCUACCAAAUCCAAAGACGACGCUUUUAUUUUCUUCAAAGGUGAAAGGAUCAAGGUCAUGCAGCUGAGGCCCAAGGAGCUGCUCUCAGUUCAGAGAAACAGGCAGUUUGUUCUGGUCCUCGAACAGGUGUCUGAAGUAGGAGCCGAGAUUCUGAGAGAUCCCUUGAUUGAAAUAUUCAAGACCAUCCACCAACAAUGACAAGAUCUGGAUCCUAGUCUUCCUAGCCAACGCAACCUUAGGGGAAUACAAAGUGUUUCAAUCGCCUUCCUUAAGCCGCUGGGACUCCUUCUUUCCGCUAGAGUUCCUCCUUGCCUAAUAUAUCAUCAACAGAUGAUUGAGAUUGCUUCUAAGAUUUAAUUCCUCAAUGGAGAGAUCCAAAGCCUCUUCCUUCUUUUCAAGGUCUUCGCUGUCCAGCAGAAUUUUCGACUUGGAAUCAUGGAGGCCUUUAAAUGUCCAGACAGAAAGUUAACAGCAAAAGGAGUUAACAGUGUGCUUGACUGCUUCUGAAGA